rnacentral:rRNA from 1 species
UGUUUCGGCUAGGGGGCCAUCCCGGCUUACCAACCCGAUGCAAACUGCGAAUACCGGAGAAUGUUAUCACGGGAGACACACGGCGGGUGCUAACGUCCGUCGUGAAGAGGGAAACAACCCAGACCGCCAGCUAAGGUCCCAAAGUCAUGGUUAAGUGGGAAACGAUGUGGGAAGGCCCAGACAGCCAGGAUGUUGGCUUAGAAGCAGCCAUCAUUUAAAGAAAGCGUAAUAGCUCACUGGUCGAGUCGGCCUGCGCGGAAGAUGUAACGGGGCUAAACCAUGCACCGAAGCUGCGGCAGCGACACUCAGGUGUUGUUGGGUAGGGGAGCGUUCUGUAAGCCUGCGAAGGUGGCCUGUGAGGGUUGCUGGAGGUAUCAGAAGUGCGAAUGCUGACAUAAGUAACGAUAAAGCGGGUGAAAAGCCCGCUCGCCGGAAGACCAAGGGUUCCUGUCCAACGUUAAUCGGGGCAGGGUGAGUCGACCCCUAAGGCGAGGCCGAAAGGCGUAGUCGAUGGGAAACGGGUUAAUAUUCCCGUACUUGGUGUUACUGCGAAGGGGGGACGGAGAAGGCUAUGUUGGCCGGGCGACGGUUGUCCCGGUUUAAGCGUGUAGGUGUGUGUUCCAGGUAAAUCCGGUUCACUUUAACACUGAGGCGUGAUGACGAGGCACUACGGUGCUGAAGCAACAAAUGCCCUGCUUCCAGGAAAAGCCUCUAAGCAUCAGGUAACAUCAAAUCGUACCCCAAACCGACACAGGUGGUCAGGUAGAGAAUACCAAGGCGCUUGAGAGAACUCGGGUGAAGGAACUAGGCAAAAUGGUGCCGUAACUUCGGGAGAAGGCACGCUGACACGUAGGUGAAGUGAUUUACUCAUGGAGCUGAAGUCAGUCGAAGAUACCAGCUGGCUGCAACUGUUUAUUAAAAACACAGCACUGUGCAAACACGAAAGUGGACGUAUACGGUGUGACGCCUGCCCGGUGCCGGAAGGUUAAUUGAUGGGGUCAGCGCAAGCGAAGCUCCUGAUCGAAGCCCCGGUAAACGGCGGCCGUAACUAUAACGGUCCUAAGGUAGCGAAAUUCCUUGUCGGGUAAGUUCCGACCUGCACGAAUGGCGUAAUGAUGGCCAGGCUGUCUCCACCCGAGACUCAGUGAAAUUGAACUCGCUGUGAAGAUGCAGUGUACCCGCGGCAAGACGGAAAGACCCCGUGAACCUUUACUAUAGCUUGACACUGAACAUUGAGCCUUGAUGUGUAGGAUAGGUGGGAGGCUUUGAAGUGUGGACGCCAGUCUGCAUGGAGCCGGCCUUGAAAUACCACCCUUUAAUGUUUGAUGUUCUAACGUGGACCCGUGAUCCGGGUUGCGGACAGUGUCUGGUGGGUAGUUUGACUGGGGCGGUCUCCUCCUAAAGAGUAACGGAGGAGCACGAAGGUUGGCUAAUCCUGGUCGGACAUCAGGAGGUUAGUGCAAUGGCAUAAGCCAGCUUGACUGCGAGCGUGACGGCGCGAGCAGGUGCGAAAGCAGGUCAUAGUGAUCCGGUGGUUCUGAAUGGAAGGGCCAUCGCUCAACGGAUAAAAGGUACUCCGGGGAUAACAGGCUGAUACCGCCCAAGAGUUCAUAUCGACGGCGGUGUUUGGCACCUCGAUGUCGGCUCAUCACAUCCUGGGGCUGAAGUAGGUCCCAAGGGUAUGGCUGUUCGCCAUUUAAAGUGGUACGCGAGCUGGGUUUAGAACGUCGUGAGACAGUUCGGUCCCUAUCUGCCGUGGGCGCUGGAGAACUGAGGGGGGCUGCUCCUAGUACGAGAGGACCGGAGUGGACGCAUCACUGGUGUUCGGGUUGUCAUGCCAAUGGCACUGCCCGGUAGCUAAAUGCGGAAGAGAUAAGUGCUGAAAGCAUCUAAGCACGAAACUUGCCCCGAGAUGAGUUCUCCCUGAGACUUUAGGUCUCCUGAAGGAACGUUGAAGACGACGACGUUGAUAGGCCGGGUGUGUAAGCGCAGCGAUGCGUUGAGCUAACCGGUACUAAUGAACCGUGAGGCUUAACCUUACAACGCCGAAG